GAUGAACGCUGGCGGCGUGCCUAAUACAUGCAAGUCGAGCGAACAGACGAGGAGCUUGCUCCUCUGACGUUAGCGGCGGACGGGUGAGUAACACGUGGAUAACCUACCUAUAAGACUGGGAUAACUUCGGGAAACCGGAGCUAAUACCGGAUAAUAUAUUGAACCGCAUGGUUCAAUAGUGAAAGACGGUUUUGCUGUCACUUAUAGAUGGAUCCGCGCCGCAUUAGCUAGUUGGUAGGGUAACGGCUUACCAAGGCAACGAUGCGUAGCCGACCUGAGAGGGGGAUAGGCCACACUGGAACGGGGACACGGUCCAGACUCCUACGGGAGGCAGCAGUAGGGAAUGUUCCGCAAUGGGCGAAAGCAUGACGGAGCAACGCCGCGUGAGUGAUGAAGGUCUUCGGAGCGUAAAACUCUGUUAUUAGGGAAGAACAAAUGUGUAAGUAAAUAUGCACGUCUUGACGGUACCGAAUCAGAAAGCAACGGCUAACUACGUG
rnacentral:rRNA from 1 species